UUUUUUUUUUUUUUUACAACACACACUUUUAUACACAGUGUUAGAAUUUAUUUAUUUACUUUUAAGGAUUUUAUUUAUUUUAUUCAUGAGAAACACAGAGAGAGAGGUGGAGAGAGGUGGAGACAGGCAGAGGGAGAAGCAGGCUCCCCAAGGGGGACUCAAUCCCAGGACUCUGGGAUCAUUCCCUGAGCCAAAGGCAGACAUUCAGUCACUGAGCCACUCAGGUGUCCUCAGUGUUGGAAUUUAUUAUAAUCAUCUAUUAUAUGCUAUUUAUCACAUAUUUGUGCUCUGCUUUCUUACUUUUCAUUCUAUUAUGAGAAAUACACCACAAUCUUAAAAUUUCUCAGCCUACAUUCUUUUUAAAUGGUUAGACAAUAUUGCACUAAAAUGGAAGAGUCAUACUGUAGUUAACUGCUAUUCUACUAGAUAGGGGUAUUUUCCCAAUUCUUCCUAAUACAAUUAACAUGAAAAUAAUAUUUAUAGAAUCUUUGUGUAAAUUCACUAUUUUUUCUUUGAAGUAAAACAGAACAUAAACAUAAACUUACUUAUUUUUUUCAAAAGUUAUACAUAGAACCACAAGAUGUGUUCAGUAAAUUUCCUUCCAGAAAAAGUUAACAAGGUAGCAGACUAACAAAGUAUAUUAUAGUGUAUUAAAGUGUCAAUAAAAAUAAUCAAGGUUUAUUGGCCAAUUUUGAGUUUCUGGAAAAUUCAAUCAUGAUCAAAUUAUUCUAUGAUUGGUUAUUAAUGCUAAGAUAAAUACGGCAUUAUUGUAUCAUAUUACAUGAUAAGAAAUAAGCAUAUAAAUGUUUUAAUUUAAUAGGUACCUAGACUGUAUACACAAUAUGGAAACAGUUUAGGUAAAUAUAUGAAUAAUAGAUGCAUUAUGGAAUAUUAUACAAUAUAUCCAGAAAUAAUUUCAGCAUGUGAUGAACAGUGAGUUCUACAACUCUCAAAUAGAUUUUUGCACUUCAGUCUCAAUACAAUAAAGCAUUAGUAUGUCAUAUUAUCAUUUUUAUCAGUGGGGCUUUACAACUAAAUAAAUAUAUUUUUUUCCAUUAGUUUGUUUUAUUAACAAGCAAACAAAAACAAAAUCUCCCAAACUUCCUGACCAUAACUGAAGCCAGUUUUAGAUAAUGUUUUCACUGUGGCAGAGAAAAUUAAAAGAGUCAAUCUGUUAAUAGCAAACAUGAAGAUGUAGCAAAUAUGAAUUCAGUUGACCUGGUUCUCAGCCAAUAACACCAGCUGCACAAGAACUGAAAAACAGCAGGUGAAACUGAUAAACCACAAAUAAUUUAAUAACCCAGCAUGCCAAUAUAAGGGUAUUCAGGUCUAAAAUUGACUAGUUAUUAAGAGAGGUCUGAAGUCUCACGGCAAUUUAAAGAAGAUUCAACAAUAUUUUGUGAGUUUGGAUGGAAGAAGAAUAAAGUGGGACCAAAAUUCUAAUUGUAUGUAAUAAAAAUUGUAAAUACUAUCAGCAAAACAUAUGGCUUAGAAUUAAGGACAAAGAAGCGUGUGGAUACCUAAUUAUAGAAAUUCUAAGUUGGAUUCAGUUUACAAUUAAUCAAUUCAUCAUGCAGAGAACCAUUUAUGAAAAGGGUGACAGCUAAUAUCAAUCAAGAAGCCUGAGGAAAGGAGGCUAUAAAUUUUGAUUCCUUCUUAUCUUCAAAAUAAUAGUGUUAGAGUUCUCCCAAAUAUUUUCCUUUAGAAAGCAUAUAUUGCUCCUUUUUUAAAUGUUAGCUAUUUUAGUGGAAAUCUUCUGAAUAAAACUUCUGGCUGCAGGAUUUACAGCUAAGGGUAGUUGAAAUAAUUUACCUGUUUUGCUUUCUCCUAAGUAUACACAAUUUUAUAGACAGCAUCUCAAUCUACUUAUGUUGGUAUUCUGAGUCUUCUAAAAGGCACUGAGAAAAUAAACAAUCUGUUCCUCCUAGAAUGAUUAAAUGCCAGACAAAUUCAUUUUAAGCUGAAAAUCUUUAAAACUGUAAAAUUUGAACAAUCUCAAUGAGCUAGGAGGAACACAUAUUACAAAAAAAAAAAAAAGCAUUAACCAGGCAUGCAUAUUUUACUGUGUCACUUCUGAACUCUCAUUGCUUGAAAUGAAAAUGCAUAUAUUCAAAAACUAAUUAUAAAAGAAUUUGAGAAAAUACUAUUUCUUUCUUAAAUGCUUGAUACAACUCUAUAUUCAAAUCAAUGGUUGCAUCUGUGGCAAAGUUACAAUCUGUAAUACAAAAUUUCCUGUCAACUGCUAUUGUGUGUUUCUUUGUUUUUGAAAGAGACUCCACACCCACAGGGUUCGAACUCAGGACCCUGAGAUCCAGAUCUAAGCCAAGAUCAAGAGUCAGACGUUUGGUGGACUGAGCCACCCUGGCACUCCUGAUGUUAGAGAUGCGUGCUCAAUCUUUUCUUACCUUAUAGCCAUAUUGCAAAUUUAGUGAAAGAGUAACCACAAAUAAUUAUACUAGAUCGGGUGCAUGCAUUCUUGGGGUGUUUCUGUAUGUUUGUCUGUCUUAUAGGUUAAAUUUAAGGGAGAAAAACCAAAGGAGAAUGGAAUGAAAGUCAAUGCCUUUUGACUUUUGGGCCCUUCUGCCAAUUCUUAAAAGAGCUAUAGGAUAAAGUCAAACAUCAAAAAGGGAGAGAAAAAGAAUAGAAUAAAUUGGGAGUGGAAGUAAAAAGGUCAAAGAGGAUCAGGGAAUGGGAGGAAGGCAGACAAAAGGGAGAUGGGGAAAACCAACAAAUUUGAACUGUUUACAAAGAUCUGCUGAUAGCAUCACUUUAAUUACUAAUUUCAAGUUAGUGUAUAAAAGGAAAUUCUGAUAUUCAAAAAACUGCCUUCAGGGUACCUGGGUGGCUCAGUUGGUUGAGCACCUGACUCUUGAUCUCUUGAUUCUUGCUCAGGUCAUGAUCUUGGGGUCAUGGGAUUCAGCCCUCCCCCAAUCCUCCCCUCUGGGCUCCAUGCUCAGCAGGGAGUCUGCUUCUUUCCCUCUCCCUCUUCCCUUUUCUCCCCCCACCUCUAAAAAUAAAUAUAUUUUUUUAAAAUUGCCUUCAUCUUACAUGCAUUAAAUUUUUGUUAUCCAUAAUAUGAUUAGAACCUAAAGGCAAAAAAUACCCAUUUACUAUUAAGUACAGAUAUCUUCCAAAUUUCUGUCAACAUUUAAACAAGUUAAGCAUUGAAAUAGAAUAUUUUCCAACAAUGUAUGGCCCUCCUAAAAUGUAUCCAGUUCUAUGACAUUUUAACCUCUGCUAAAUGAGAGAACUACCAGAGAAACCGUGGAAAUUUUUCUUUCUCUGUGACCAGAGAUAAACUACAUCUAUCAGCAGAAAAUUUUUAGAAAAGCAUGAAAAACAAUUUCCUGCACUAACUGUGACAUGAGGGGUAUUAAAUUGUGCCAGGGAAUAAAUAACCAUAAGUAACGUCCAAGAAAGAAUGUUCUAACAAGCUAUAAUAGGAUGUGUUUCCAUUCUUUGAUUUUUCUUUCCAUUAAUUAUACUAUUGUGGUGUUAUAAUCAUCUAUUGGUCACAGUGAUAAACUAUUGUGUAAUUAUUUAUCUUUCUCCACACUGUGUCUAAAGAAUAAAAGAAACAAAUAAAUUUUACAUGUUAAAGAUGCUAAAUAACCUGCUGCUACCACCAAUAUAAGGUAGGCGUGUCAACAGAAUAUUACUGAAAAAGGUUAAAUGUAAAAUUUAGAGAUACUUUUAUUAAACCAUACAAGGAAAAUAAUGGCAUUACUCUUAAAUAAAUAAUAAUGUUGCAUUUCAGGAAAGAGCUAAUGAAAUUUUAUAUUUAUGGCUAAAACUCCAAUCUGCUGUUAACAUUUCUCUAAAAUUAAUUUCAGCUAAAAGAUUCUGUAGCUGGAUAUCCAUUAAUUUUGUAUUGGUCACUUGUUGAACUAAAGGAAAUGCUGAAGCAGAAGGUAUCUGCACAAGGAAAAAUAUUGAUAGCUACUGCAGCAAGCAUAAAUAAGAGGGUCUUGCUGAAUGUAUGUAGAAAAUAAAGACAUUAUUUACACUCAAUGGCAGGUUCGGAAUGGUUUUUGGCAAGAAUAGUCAAAAGAGAUGAUUUACGGGCUUCUUUAAGAAUUUAAGUAGAGUUCUAAGGAACUCUUGUAAAAUGACUUAGUUGGGGCAACAUGAUAAAAGCUAGGUAGAAAAAUUCUGCUUCCUUUUAAUGAGAAUUAUGCACAUGCAUAACUAUGCCUAAGCAGCCUACUAUCUCAAUGACAUCAAUUUAGGUACAUUUUAUUAAAUGUUUAUUUUUUAUGAAAACUAUUUUGGGAAAAGUAAAGUUAAAUGAUGUACCCUUGACAUAAUAGACUACAAUGAUUAAAUCUCUCUGAUUCAGAAAAAAAGUUUUCUGAAAUAUUUAGGUCAUGCAAUAAAUGUCAAAAGACAGUCUGUUUUUAUUAAUGCAACCUUCAAUAAUAAAACUUCCAUGAAGGAAUAAGCUUUCUAUAAAAUAUGUAAGUAUGACAGUCUUCAUCUAAUGCUAAAACAGAAGCAUUAUCCAUCAUAAAUGGGGAAAUGGUACUGCAGUCAACCACAAAAUUUAGUUCUAACCUUUCUGGCAGCCAAACUAAUAAAGGAAAUAUGAAGUUUUGAGGUUAUGUAGCUUUCAUAUCAUAUUACAAAAACACAUGAAAUCAUGUGGAGAGACAAAAAAAUGCAUCAAUUCUAAUGCUAAGAACUUGUACGGUUCUUUCAAAAGGGAAAACAGCAGCAUAAUUAACAUUUGCCAAAUGCCUUAUACAAAUUAUGUUUUCAAUAAGUUUAUAUAGAGUAAAAUAUAUACAUACUUCUGUGGUAUGUCAAAAAUUACUGAAAUUAUUAUUAUUUUAAAUUUUUUUAUUUUUAUUUAUUCAUGAGAGACACAGAAAGAGAGGUAGAGACAGGCAGAGGGAGAAGCAGGUUCCCUGUGGGA
rnacentral:lncRNA from 1 species